rnacentral:misc_RNA from 1 species
GAUGAAGAACGCAGCGAAAUGCGAUACGUAAUGUGAAUUGCAGAAUUCAGUGAAUCAUCGAGUCUUUGAACGCACAUUGCGCCCCCUGGUAUUCCGGGGGGCAUGCCUGUCCGAGCGUCAUUGCUGCCCUCAAGCACGGCUUGUGUGUUGGGCCUCCGUCCUCCUCCCGGGGGACGGGCCCGAAAGGCAGCGGCGGCACCGCGUCCGGUCCUCGAGCGUAUGGGGCUUCGUCACCCGCUCUUGUAGGCCCGGCCGGCGCUUGCCGACACAUCAAUCUUUUUUCCAGGUUGACCUCGGAUCAGGUAGGGAUACCCACUGAACUUAAGCAUAUCAAUAAGCGGAGGA